rnacentral:rRNA from 1 species
UACGGAGGAUGCAAGCGUUAUCCGGAUUCAUUGGGUUUAAAGGGUGCGCAGGCGGGUUUGUAAGUCAGUGGUGAAAUACUGCCGCUUAACGGUAGGAUUGCCAUUGAUACUGCAAAUCUUGAGUAUGGUUGAGGUAGGCGGAAUGUGCAGUGUAGCGGUGAAAUGCUUAGAUAUUGUACAGAACGCCGAUUGCGAAGGCAGCUUACUAAGCCAUUACUGACGCUGAGGCACGAAAGCGUGGGGAUCGAACAGGAUUAGAUACCCUGGUAGUCCACGCCGUAAACGAUGUUCACUCGCUGUUUGCGAUAAACAGCAAGCGGCUAAGCGAAAGCGUUAAGUGAACCACCUGGGGAGUACGAUCGCAAGGUUGAA